rfam:Vigna angularis cultivar Jingnong 6 chromosome 4, whole genome shotgun sequence.
AACCGUUAUCAAGCGUUCAUAGCGACGGUUCUUUUUUAUCUUUCAAUGUCGGCUCUUCCUAUCAUUGUGAAGCAGAAUGCACCAAGUGUUGGAUUGUUCACCCAUCAAUAGGGAACGUGAGCUGGGUUUAGACCGUCGUGAGACAGGUU